rnacentral:rRNA from 1 species
CAGUCGACGCCCCGCAAGGGGAGUGGCAGACGGGUGAGUAACGCGUGGGAAUCUACCCAACCCUACGGAAUAACCCAGGGAAACUUGGACUAAUACCGUAUACGCCCUUAGGGGGAAAGAUUUAUCGGGGAUGGAUGAGCCCGCGUUGGAUUAGCUAGUUGGUGGGGUAAAGGCCUACCAAGGCGACGAUCCAUAGCUGGUCUGAGAGGAUGAUCAGCCACAUUGGGACUGAGACACGGCCCAAACUCCUACGGGAGGCAGCAGUGGGGAAUAUUGGACAAUGGGCGCAAGCCUGAUCCAGCCAUGCCGCGUGAGUGAUGAAGGCCUUAGGGUUGUAAAGCUCUUUCACCGGUGAAGAUAAUGACGGUAACCGGAGAAGAAGCCCCGGCUAACUUCGUGCCAGCAGCCGCGGUAAUACGAAGGGGGCUAGCGUUGUUCGGAAUUACUGGGCGUAAAGCGCACGUAGGCGGACUUUUAAGUCAGGGGUGAAAUCCCAGGGCUCAACCCUGGAACUGCCUUUGAUACUGGAAGUCUGGAGUAUGGAAGAGGUGAGUGGAAUUCCGAGUGUAGAGGUGAAAUUCGUAGAUAUUCGGAGGAACACCAGUGGCGAAGGCGGCUCACUGGUCCAUUACUGACGCUGAGGUGCGAAA